rnacentral:rRNA from 1 species
GAUGAACGCUGGCGGCGUGCUUAACACAUGCAAGUCGAACGAAGCAUUUCCUUUUCUUCGGAAAAGGAAAUGACUGAGUGGCGGACGGGUGAGUAACGCGUGGGUAACCUGCCUCAUACAGGGGGAUAACAGCUGGAAACGGCUGCUAAUACCGCAUAAGCGCACAAUGCUGCAUGACAUAGUGUGAAAAACUCUGGUGGUAUGAGAUGGACCCGCGUCUGAUUAGCUAGUUGGUAAGGUAAUGGCUUACCAAGGCGACGAUCAGUCGCCGACCUGAGAGGAGGACCGGCCACAUUGGGACUGAGACGCGGCCCAAACUCCUACGGGAGGCAGCAGUGGGGAAUAUUGCACAAUGGGCGAAAGCCGGAUGCAGCGACGCCGCGUGAGCGAAGAAGUAUUUCGGUAUGUAAAGCUCUAUCAGCAGGGAAGAAAAAAAUGACGGUACCUGACUAAGAAGCACCGGCUAAAUACGUGCCAGCAGCCGCCGUAA